UUUCCCAUACAAAGUAGAGUGUCCGGAAUUUGAAGCUGUCCGUAAUAUGAAUCAAAACGGUAUUUAUUUUCAACGAACCCCAGGGAAUCCUCAAUCUCGAUGAAUCCGGCUUUCAAUUAGUCCUGAGCGAUUAUAAAGCACUUUGCGGGCAAAAUGCUAAUAAUGCGUAUUCCAUAAUUAACAAUUCGGAUAAAGAAUCCUUUACUGUGCUUACUGUGUUUACAGUGCUUUCCGGUAACACUGCAGCUAGUGACUUAACUCCGCCAAUGAUACUUUAUUAUUAGGAAAAGAGUGAGCAAGGAUAAUGCUGAGAAUAUUCCAGAAGGAUGGUCGGUUGGAAUAUCGGACAAGGGAUGGCAGACUACAAAAACGUUAUAUGAAUAUAAUGUCAGCAAAUUUCAUCAGUGGCUGGUUGACAGAGGAAUCGAAUUCCCGGUCAUAGUAUUCGUGAAUUGCCACAAGAACCAUGUCAACAUAGAGCUUUGCGUGAAGCAUCGCAUUAUUUUCAUCUCUUUGUAUCCGAAUUCAACACGGAUUUUGCAACCCUUGGACUGGCUUUGUUUUGGUCCACCCAAAAAAAAUUGGUUCAAGGUCCUCAGAAAUCAUCUUCUUAGUGGCAGAAACGCAAGGGUCACAAAAGUGAAUUUCGGGAAACUCAUUGUUCCCGCGGAUACGAUCCGGUAGAGAAUUAAUACGAGAGAGAUGCGUUCGAAUUCACGGUUUAUUUCAUACUGAUUAGUACAACCCAAGUAACAAUGAAAGCUGAACAACAAGAGUAUUUGCUGAACAGUGACUGAUUAAUGGUGUACCAGGCUGAAAACCGUGACAGCUGAACAAUAAUUUGAAGAAAAGCUUAUUAAACACUCUUAUUCAGCAGUAUAAUCAAAGCUGGAUAUCAAGUUGAACAAGCUAUUUUCCAUCUACAAUUUUAACUUUUGUUCAGCCAUCCUGAAUGAUAUUGAUUAAAGCUUAUUUAAAGCUUUUAUCAAAUCAACAGCCAUUGUUGAAAAAUUGUCGAGCUGUAGGUUGACAAAAAUAUACACACCAACGUUUGGGUAAAACACAAAAUUAGUUAUUAAAAAACUGUUUCAUCGAACUCACCGAGCAACAAAUUUUUACAUCCCGAAGCGGACAUGCCCUAAACACACACGGGCCUAGCGUUUGUCGAAAAAGAAAAACACCAGAGUAACAACAAUAUAGAACAAUACACUCGCUCAAAAAGAUUUCAUCGUCACAUUUUCAUUUAAUUGUACGGAAUCGUAAUCAUUAUCAACUUUCGUUGACAACAAUUAAACAGCAGUACCUCAUUGAAAAUUAUCGAGAAUUCAAUUUUAAAACAAAAAUCACAACACACAAAACACUAACUUAAGUGUUUUUGCAAAGCACUGAUAUUCAUUCUCCAGCCUCAAUGCAACCUUUAAUAUAGCCCUUAUGCAGACAAAUCAAUAAGUUAUUGCCUCGCAUUUGAUAAUGCUCACACAGUCUCAUGUGGAGCAAAUGUCAAGGUAAGUGGUUAUAAAUCAAUGGAUCCCAGUUCAAUUCUCAAUUGUUAAUAUUUACUAAUCUUCAUCUUUAAAUUCCAGCACACAUCUCCCCCAUGUGUUUGAAAUUGUAAGUUGCAUUAAUAAAAUCCAAAACUAUGAACCUCUAAAUAUUUGAACAUUUUUUGGUUUACUGUUAAAUAAUGGAUGAAUAAGCGAUUGUUAAGCUUUCGAAGGCCGCAAUCUGUGCUAAAAAUAGAAUUAUCGUUAUUGAAAGGGGGUUGAAUAAGCGCAUGAUAGACCUUUAUUCAGCCUUCCAUAAAGCUUCAAUUAAGCUUAAGGCUGAAUAAAAUCGUCAGAAUCAAUAAGAUGUUUGACAGCUGAACAACAGUGUGUUCAGGCUAUGAACAACUUUUGUUCAAACAAAGGCUAAAUAGAAUUAGUUAUAAAAGCGUUUGAACAGCUUCAAAUUGUAUGUAAUGGUGUCAUAUUAAUAAUCCGUUCUUCCCUAUAGAGCUUGUAUGGAACAUUAUAGUAUCCUAUUGUUGCAUACAAUAAUGUAUUGUGGUCUUAAUUGUUAUACAAUAAAGACUACUGCAGAGUCUUCUGGAACUGUCAAAGAGAGAUAUAAUGCAAAGGGUAAACAAUAACAAUGUGUUUACGAUCUGGAAAGAUCGAGCGGUAUGAUGACUAAAUGAGCGUAUGUUACAGGUGAGUAUAAAGUGUUGCCAGAAUUGCGGUUUUGAAGUGUUUGUGGCCUCAACAUGAGACAGAUUCGUCCACCGGUGUGGUGCGGCAUGAUGCACCCCGGUGGCUCGUUGUUAGCCUCAACACUCAUCAAAACCACUAUCGACAACUUCACGAAUUCUAAGGAUUGUUUCAAGAAAUCCUUUGAAAUUUGCGGUAUUUUUCUCCUUGGAACGUUAACGAGAUCGACUUCAGUGAAUUACCAAUCAAUGCUACUCAACCUGCGAUCCGAAUCCCCAAGUCUCCAAUGACUUGCGUCCAAAUGGAAAAUGUCUAUCAGAAGCAGUUAGAGCACGUUGAGCUUAGGCUCAUAGCAGAUCAACUUCCGUCUCUGUCGUUGAAACUGAUUCACACUAUUUACGUGGCAGUCAUUGCCGUACGAGUGAAAAAAUAUUUCAAGCGGGAUUUCAUUAUAUUUCGAUAAAACACACUACGGAAUAUGCAAACGCUAGAGAUUACUGUUGCUUUCCAUGGCAAUGAUGUGCGGCAGUUUGAUGAUCCGAAUCAUUCCUUGGAUCGGAACAUCGGUUGGAAAAAAUACAAAGCCAGUCGUCCUGAUGCCAGAGCAGAAAGAUGAGCCCAGGAACCACAAUUAAACAAAGCUAGCCCAGAAGAGUUGGACAUCGGGCUAGGAACGUCACCCGUACCAGCUAUCAAAUAUUUGGUUUAUUAUGCUUACUUUUUUAGUGCAGUUUGCAACGAUG
rnacentral:lncRNA from 1 species